rnacentral:rRNA from 1 species
GGGCCCGCACAAGCGGUGGAGCAUGUGGUUCAAUUCGACGCAACGCGAAGAACCUUACCUGGGCUCGAAGCGCAGUGGACCGGGGUGGAAACAUCCCUUUCCGCAAGGACUGCUGCGGAGGUGCUGCAUGGCUGUCGUCAGCUCGUGUCGUGAGAUGUUGGGUUAAGUCCCGCAACGAGCGCAACCCUUAUCUCUAGUUGCCAUCGGGUUAUGCCGGGCACUCUAGCGAAACCGCCUCGGAUAACGGGGAGGAAGGUGGGGAUGACGUCAAGUCCUCAUGGCCUUUAUGUCCAGGGCUACACACGUGCUACAAUGCGCGGUACAAAACGUCGCAAACCCGCGAGGGGGAGCUAAUCGGAAAAAGCCGCGCUCAGUUCGGAUUGGAGUCUGCAAUUCGACUCCAUGAAGCUGGAAUCGCUAGUAAUCGCAGAUCAGAACGCUGCGGUGAAUACGUUCCCGGGCCUU